GUGCUUUCAUGGUUCUUAAGUAUGUUGAUUACGUUUUCAUGCUAUUAUGUGAGAUGUAUCUCGCUCAAACCUUGUUACAAUGUCAGCACAUUAUCCAUCUGAUG